rnacentral:rRNA from 1 species
UAGUCAUAUGCUUGUCUCAAAGAUUAAGCCAUGCAUGUCUAAGUAUAAGCAUUUAUACUGUGAAACUGCACAUGGCUCAUUAAAUCAGUUAUAGUUUAUUUGAUGGUACCUUACUACAUGGAUAACCGUAGUAAUUCUAGAGCUAAUACAUGCGCCAAGUCCCGACCUCACGGAAGGGAUGUAUUUAUUAGAUAAAAAACCAAUGUGGGUUUUGCCCACUUGUUUGAUGAUUCAUAAUAACUCUACGAAUCGCAUGGCUUCACGCCGGCGAUAGGUC